rnacentral:rRNA from 1 species
GACGAACGCUGGCGGCGUGCUUAACACAUGCAAGUCGAACGCGAAAGGGACUUCGGUCCUGAGUAGAGUGGCGCACGGGUGAGUAACGCGUAGAUAAUCUGUCCUUGUGUCUGGAAUAAUACGUCGAAAGGUGUACUAAUACCGGAUAUUCUUGCUUUUCAUAAGUUUGGCAAGCAAAGGUGGCCUCUGGCAUAAGCUAUCGCAUAAGGAGGAGUCUGCGUACCAUUAGCUAGUAGGCGGGGUAAUGGCCCACCUAGGCGACGAUGGUUAACGGGUCUGAGAGGAGGAUCCGUCACACUGGCACUGGAACACGGGCCAGACUCCUACGGGAGGCAGCAGUGAGGAAUAUUGCGCAAUGGGGGCAACCCUGACGCAGCGACGCCGCGUGAGUGAGGAAGGCCUUCGGGUCGUAAGCUCUGUCAAAGGGAAAGAAGUGCAUAGUGGUUAAUACCUGCUAUGCUUGACGGUACCCUUAAAGGAAGCACCGGCUAACUCCGUGCCAGCCGCCGCGGUAAAAC